AAUGAAUGAAUGAAUAAAUACAACACUCACAGUAGGAUUUUAUUUAUAAGAAAAGCACAGACGCCUCGGCAAGAUAUUUAAAGCUCUUAAAACCUGUUCCUGCCCUGAGACUACAGGUGCAUUUCUGCUUCACACUGGUUCCCAAAUUGCUAAUGUUGCGGGGCCAACCAUGACGAUCUCGAUUCGUUAGCACAGGACUUCGUGUAUGAUAUGCUUAGCGAUUAGAGCCUAUGCUCUCCGGGAGCUCUAGUGGGACAAGGGGGACUGGAAGAGGAGGAAGAGAGUGGCUAAAAACAGCCACUCCGGGAUGUGAGAACAGAGCCAACAUCGUGUCUGGAGACAACAAGGUUGCUUUUGUUAGUCUGGAUAUGUGUUUGGUGGUGGUGGUGGUGGAGCUCAAAUUUUAGAUUUUCAGUGCUAGAGAAAUGCAUUUACAAUGUGAAAACCCGAUGCUUAUUAAAGAAACUCAUUCUUUUAAAAUUGUCACCAUUUGGUACUUCAUGCUGUUAUGCAAAGGUUUAGAUGGAUACUUCGGCUGCAGAAGAAUGCUUACUUAAGGCGCUGUCUGAUACUAAGUUGCAGAUGUGCUAAGUAUUCUUAAAGGCUGAAGAAUAAGAACAUCUCCUAUAUAACCAUAAUGCUAUUGUGAAAUAA
rnacentral:lncRNA from 1 species